rnacentral:rRNA from 1 species
GUGCCGAAAGGAACCUCAAGACAGGUGCUGCAUGGCUGUCGUCCCCUCGUGUUGUGAGAUGUUGGGUUAAGUCCCGUAACGAGCGCAACCCUUAUCCUUAGUUGCCAACAUGUAAUGGUGGGGACUCUAAGGAGACUGCUGGUGAAGAACCGGAGGAAGGCGGGGACGACGUCAAGUCAUCAUGGCCUUUAUGGGUAGGGCCACACACGUGCUACAAUGGGCAGUACAGAGGGUCGCCAACCCGCAAGGGGGAGCCAAUCCCGCAAAGCUGCUCGUAGUCCGGAUUGAAGUCUGCAACUCGACUUCAUGAAGUUGGAAUCGCUAGUAAUCGCGAAUCAGAAUGUCGCGGUGAAUACGUUCCCGGGCCUUGUACACACCGCCCGUCACACCAUGGGAGUGGGUUGUACC